rnacentral:rRNA from 1 species
CCUACGGGAGGCAGCAGUGAGGAAUAUUGGUCAAUGGGCGCGAGCCUGAACCAGCCAAGUAGCGUGAAGGAUGACUGCCCUACGGGUUGUAAACUUCUUUUAUCAAGGAAUAAAGUGAGGCACGUGUGCCUUUUUGUAUGUACUUUAUGAAUAAGGACCGGCUAACUCCGUGCCAGCCGCCGCGGUAAUACGGAGGAUCCGAGCGUUAUCCGGAUUUAUUGGGUGUAAAGGGAGCGUAGUUGGAUUGUUAAGGCAGUUGUAAACGUGUGCGGCUCAACCGUGACAGUGCAGUUGAAACUGGGAGUCGUGAGGACGGAAGAGGUGGGAGGAAGGCGUGGUGGAGCGGUGAAAUGCUUAGAGAUCACGAAGAACUCCGAUUGCGAAGGCAGCUGACUGGACUGCAACUGACACUGAGGCUCGAAAGUGUGGGUAUCAAACAGGAUUAGAGACCCUUGUAGUC